rnacentral:lncRNA from 1 species
UGCACAUUAAAUCAUUCUUAUACGGUUAAAAACAAUGAGAAACAUCUAUUUUUAAUCUAUAAAAUAAAAUCAAACAGACCUAUAAAAAUCCAAUUGCACGUUUAAUCUAUUAUAAUUCAUAUCUUUAUUUAUGUUUACAUCGCUUAUAUGGUCAUCUGAGGUCAAUCGAUAGUUAAUUAGAUGGCCUCUGGACUAAAAUACACACGAAACGAACCUAUAUAUUAUCUAC